rnacentral:rRNA from 1 species
UACGUAGGGUCCGAGCGUUGUCCGGAAUUAUUGGGCGUAAAGGGCUCGUAGGCGGUUUGUCGCGUCGGGAGUGAAAACACGGGGCUUAACCCCGUGCCUGCUUCCGAUACGGGCAGACUAGAGUGUGGUAGGGGAGACUGGAAUUCCUGGUGUAGCGGUGAAAUGCGCAGAUAUCAGGAGGAACACCGAUGGCGAAGGCAGGUCUCUGGGCCACUACUGACGCUGAGACGCGAAAGCGUGGGGAGCGAACAGG